GAACACAAAAUGGCGACACGUGGUUAGCAUUCGUCGCCAACGAGAAAUUGGGGUCGGCCCGAAAGCUCUAGAAUGCACCCCUCUUCCUCCCCGGGGCCUUCCACCUCCGCGAGUUUUAUGACUUAAAAAAGCCCACAGGCUGGUCUGAAGGUCGGAGGCCUAAUUUUAACGCGUUUUCCUCCCUUUAAUUUGAAACGGGAACGCGAAUGACUGUAAAAUGAAGACAAACAUAAAGAUGAAGUGCUUAAUUCAAGGUCACACAAUGUCGGGGAUGGACCUCCAGAUUUCCUUACUGGAAAACAAGCUCAGGGCUCCCACUGAUUGUACAUUAUGAGACGGAGUCUUGCUAUGUUGCCCAGGCUGGUCUUGAACUCCUCACCUCAAGCGAUCCUCCCGUCUUGGCCUCCCAAGUGUCAGGAUUACGGGCAUGUGCUAUCACACCCAACCUGAUACAUUGCCUUUAUAAAUUUUUUUUUCUUUAUUCUAAAAACCAGAAAAAACAAAACUGGAUACAUGUGCAGAACAUGCAGGUUUGUUACAUAGCUGUACGUGUGCCAUGGUGGUUUGCUGCACCUAUUGACCUAUCCUGUGAGACGUGGUCUUGUAACACAGUGGUUAAGAAUGUGACUUUGGAGCCAGCCUGCUAGGGGCUGAAUUCUGACUCAGCCAUUUACUAACUGUGUGACCUUAGGGAGGAGGACCUGGUUGAUAGAAGAAUUUAUCUCGUAGUCUUAACAUCCACUGUAAUUCCAAACUUUGAGGACGAUAGAGAUCAGUGGGCUUUGACUGCCCAGCAUGCAGUCUCCAUUCUUAGGUGGGUUCCCAAGCCUGUAAAAUGUAAGCCUUAUGCUGCUGAGGGCCAUCUUGCCACCCUGAGGGAAACGCUGCCUGAGAAUGAAACAAGCAUAAGUAAAAGCUGAGCUGUGAGAUGGAGCAAGAUGAAGGCCACAUGACAUCUUUGGAGCACCUGGAUCUAACUGUGCCUUAAGCUAGUCUAACCCUGAACAUUUCAUCAUUUCAUUGACAUGAGCCCAGGUUUUCUUUUUUUUUGGAUGGAGUCUUGCUCUGUCGCCCAGGCUGGAGUGCAGUAGCUCAAUCUCGGCUCACUGCAAGCUCCACCUCCCGGGUUCACGCCAUUCUCCUGCCUUAGCCUCCCAAGUAGCUGGGACAACAGGCGCCCACCACCACUCCCAGCUAAUUUUUUGUAUUUUUAGUAGAGACGGGGUUUUACCAUGUUAGCCGGGAUGGUCUUGAUCUCCUGACCUCAUGAUCCGCCCGCCUCGGCCUCCCAAAGUGCUGGGAUUACAGGUGUGAGCCACUGCACCCAGCCCUCAGGUUUUCCCUUUUUUUACCCCUCCUUUUGAAAAUUUGAUGUGGAAUUUUGCCACCUGCAGCCAGAAGAGUUUUAACUAAUCAGUGCCAUAAAUUUUAUAUAGUUCUCCUUGCAAAAUGUGGAUCAGCCUUUCUCAGCAAAUCCUUUGUCAUAAAGUGCUGAAUUGUAAGUUUGUCAUGAGAAUCACAUGAGAUCAUGCAUGUGAAGAACCUGGCAUUAUCCUCCUCAUAGAAAAAAACCAGUAAAUAUUAACUACAGGAAGCAAGGAAGGAGUGGGGUGAGGGGAAGAAGAAGGGGUACUGAUUUAAAAGAACCCUGGAGUCCUAAGGAUAAUCUAGGAACCCUCAGACCCAAUCCGAUACCCCUAUUCUAAAUGCUCCUAGUGCCCUGUACCUUCCCCUCAUAAGCCUUCAUUAUCAUUGUAAUGAUAUGUUUAUGUAAUAUUUUGAUUAAUGUCUCUCCUUCACUGACCUAGCAGUUCUAGCAGGGCAGUGAUUUUGCUGUGUUGCAUCCCCAGCACCUAGUCUGGUAUGUGGCAUUCAGCAUAUGUUUAUUGAAUGAAUGGCCAUGUGGUUAUUCAGAUCCUCCUUGAUUAUUGGGGUUAGGAUUGUGGCAGAAGUGGCAAAAUCAGGGAGAGUAGUCCCUGUCCCCUCUGUAUCUUAUACACUGCCCACACUCCCAACACACAUACACAUACAGAGAAUUUUGUCUCAAUUAGAUAAUUAACUUCUGCUUGGUUGUAAACCAAACCACUGGUUCUUAAACUUUCAUUGGAUCAUUUUAUUGAAGAAUUAAAUAGUGUGGUUCUGGCCUAAUGUCUGGAAAGCCUUGCAGAGGAGUGGAUUAGGUCUUUGUGAUAAACAGGCAGCCUUCCCUGCUCCUGUGUCUUUAUAAAAUCUAUUUAACUGGAGUAGUCCACCCUCCCUCAGGCUCUUACAGGAAUAUGUUGGAGGCUGUAGGAAGGUGGGAAACCGAGAGGGAAAGGACUGGGCCGCUGGAGACUUCACUCAUUCCCUAGCAAGAAACAAAAGCAGUAAAAGGUGGCCCGAGGACAACCUGAAGCUCACUCCUUCAGCACUUUUGGCUGGAGGUCACUUGUUGGAGCCCCACUCAGAGCUCAGCACACCACCCCACCAGCAGCCUCCUCCUCCCAGCUGAGGCUGCAUUUCAUCCCUUCCCCCAGCCUGCUUUCCCUGAGAUAGGGGAGUGUUUCCCAGGGCCCAUGUGACUUCCACUGGCAAGUGACGAUUACCAAUGGUUUACUAGUCAGUGAAACUACCAAAGGCUUUUGUGCUGUAGUAAUCCUUUUCCUGUUUAAAACUCUGGGGAUUUUCUAAUGUUGCCAAUAGUUUUUCAAGUCAGCAAUUACUGUGUGGAUUAUGUAAUGGCUCGGUAUUA
rnacentral:sRNA from 1 species